CCGCCUCCCCCGCGCAGGUGGCGAGCGGCCGGGCUGGGCGCGCGCAGUGGUACGGUCUGCAGUGGGCGGUGGACUGGGACUGGAGGGCUCUCACUGGGGACUGGGAAUGGCAGAGAAUGCCUUGGCCACUGAGGCUCCCGCUCUCAGCUCUCAUCAGUCAGUUCUUGAAUCAUUAUGAUUUACUGAGCAUCACUCGAAAGGAAUCUGAAAUAGGUUUUCACAUGUUGAUCACUUCCCUGGGAGCUUCGUAUGUCUCUGCAUCAGCUGAGAGUUUUAAAAAAAUGCAGAAGCUCCUCCACAGGUCUGACAGCGCACCGCAAGAAGAAGCAUUCUAAAAGCGAUGAAGUCUCUUUUUGCUCUGACACCAUGUCUUAAAAUAGGUGCAAGUGUUCCAGCAGGCACACGGUGAAGGAUGGCAUAUAAACAACUGAUUGUUUACUUUUCCCACACUCGAGUAAAUUCAGUCCAGAGAAUCCACCGAAACACUUUUCAAUCGGAGCAGUAGGAGUUGGGCAACAAAGCUUCGGAUUCACGCAGAAUCGAUGCGUUUUCUUCCUCCAAAUAAGUCAAUGCUGUAAUCAAAUAGCACGGCACUUACGGAAUCACAGCAAACGGAAAAAAGCUGCUUUCAGGGCUUGCUGAGGAGGAGGUGGGGCUGAUAGCCCCCAGGCAGUUGCUCAGUUAUCCUUGUGGCUGCCCUCAGGAGCAGGCAAAUGUUAUUCUACUUGAAGGGCAGAGGAUAAAGGGAAUUGUCUGGUGGCACAAAAGGAACCAGUGUCGGAGCCAAGAGAUCUCUGCUGUGCCUUGUUCUGUGGAAAGGUCACGAGACCGUGUGUCUCUGCGCUUCUGUUUAAGCUUUGUCAGCCCUGUCUUAGUGCCUUUACAGGCAGGUGUAGCGGUGUCUCUUUCUAGUAUUUGUUGUUGUUCCCUUUUGAAAUGGAGGAGUACUUCAGAAAAAAGCACUCCAACCGACCUUGUUCAUAAAUAUGAAGGCCGUAUAUAACAUCACUCCGUCAGCCUUUUGGGGCAAUGUAGAAUCAGAGCUUGCUGACAUAACCCUUGGCCUUUCCUUUUGCCUGGGCUUGGCUCUUCAGUGCUCAGGAGCUUCAGGACCAUUUAGUCCGGGGCUUGGGGAAGACCCCAUUUCUAGCUCCCCUGCAACCGCGGACUCAGCCCGUCCUAUCGGGCUCACCAUCUCGGCGAUACCGUGUUUAUACAAUGCACAUGCCCUGCGUGCGCCUACAAGCCCGCUUUAUCUCAGCUCACUCUCUGCUGUGAAAGUAGAUUUUUGCUGUUCCUCUGCCGCUGGGAGGACGUCGCUGACAGCCCGGGACACGCGGUGACAGCCCUGCCUCGUCCUGCCACAGCCAGGCCCAGGAAUCGGGCUCGCAGGGCGUCUCCGUGGCUGCUGGCUCCAAGUUCCUUUGCGCCUCGUUUUCCUUCUGCAGUAUCGCUGUUACCCAUGUGCAUUAUUGCACUGCCCAAUCCAGUAUUGAUUUUUUCGUUGUUUUUUUUUUUAGCGCAGAUUGGAGUUACGAGGUAGUCCCAGCUCCUUCAGCCAUGUCCCGUGGCUGUGGUGCGUGCUGCUUUAUACCCUUACCUUUGUUUCUCUGAGCCCCUUGUUUGAGAGAAGGAUCAGACAAAACAUCCGUGUUUUCUCAGUUCAUUCAGGAUGCAGAAACUUCUUGCCGUGCCGUGCCCUAUAGGCACUGUGUGUAACCAGGAGUUGCGCUGCACAUUUUGCUUCCUUUAUUCCAGCACAAUAAACUGAUUUACAACA